UUAUUGUUUGAUAUUAUUGCAUGUCAUUUUAUUUAUGGUUCUUAUGUUUAGACAAUUAUUUAUGUUAUUUUGGCUGCAUUUACUAAUUUCCUUUUGUCUUUGUUAUCCUUUUCUCUCCUGAGCCGAGGGUCGAUUGGAAACAGUCUCUCUGCCUGUCUACAUAUUACCCUCCCCAGACCCCACUUUGUUGGACUAUACUGGGUAGUUGUUG
rnacentral:lncRNA from 1 species